GGGUGUUUAGCUCAGCUGGGAGAGCACCUGUUUGACGUACAGGAGGUCGUGAGUUCGAUCCUCGCAGCACCCACCA
rnacentral:tRNA from 1 species